rnacentral:rRNA from 1 species
GUCCACGCCGUAAACGAUGGAUGCUAGCCGUCGGCAAGCUUGCUUGUCGGUGGCGCAGCUAACGCAUUAAGCAUCCCGCCUGGGAGUACGGCCGCAAGGUUAAACUCAAAGGAAUUGACGGGGCCCGCACAAGCGGUGGAGCAUGUGGUUUAAUUCGACGCAACGCGAAGAACCUUACCAGCUCUUGACAUGUCCGGUCGGUUUCCAGAAAUGGAUUCCUCCUAGCAAUAGGUCGGAACACAGGUGCUGCAUGGCUGUCGU